GAAGGUAAAUUACUAAAAUAAUGUGCCUAAAGCAACUAUGCAUUGUUAACUUUGCGAGGGCGAUAGAAGAUUUUUUAAAUGGCACGCCACAGAUUUCUAGGGAUGAAUAAGAUUAAUUGAGCAAAUGGAUGUUGGAUAUCUAAUUUCUGUUUGGUACCAAACCUCACUCAGCUACAAUGAUCCUCUAAUUAAAUGAGGCUACAGAAAUCAAAUCCAUUUUAAAACCACGACUGGAUUCAAUUGAAAAUAUAAAAGGGUGAUAUUGAGUAAAGGUUACUCCAUUUUUUGUUUCAGCACUUGGGAGCCUAACAAUAGGCCCAAUGGCCCAAUAAAUUUCCAUGCUGCAAGGUUAUGGACUCCUCUCCAUAUUCCAUUCAAGCCCAGGAAAGAAGCCCACAUUUUACAAAAUAUGCACGAGCUAGAUACCAAGGGGUUUCGCACAUCGAACCCGUACAAUAGCAGAAAGCAAUCAAAUUCCAAAAUGUGAGGGCAAAGGAAUUAAACACGAAUGGAUCUGUAAACUUAACAUUGAACAAUUAUAAAGUUACACUAACAACUACUAUGCACAGAAACAAUGAUUGGAACAAAACUGAGAGCUGUUCUAAGCCAUUUUCAAGUUUAGCCACAUUCACAUGACAAUCAUUUACACACUAGAAAUUGAAAAUCAUUGAAACACUAACUAGAUAGUCAUUACUCAUUUAAGCAUUCACGCUUAAACCACGUGACUAAGCAUCCCAGUUUCCAUAUGCAUUCAUUGUUAUUUCUCUCAAAACCUAAGUUUACAAAAAAAACUCAACUACCUGGUGAAUGCAAUGAACCAGCCAUUACAUGAAUUCAAAACUCUUUGCCAAAAGCCUGCAUACAAGCAAACUAUUGGGAAGACACUUAAGACACUUAACCAGAAUAAGAUGAUUCAAACCUCUAGCAUGCUUAACACUAACUAAGUCAACAUUCAUACUCACAGAAAUAUAAAUAACAUAUGUAGCUACAGACCAAAACCAUUAUUCAUCCAUCUGAACUUCUAAAAAUCAAAACACCUAAUUAGUCCACAUAAGAGUAGAAUCUCAAACCAUUUAACACCAUAACUAAAGUUUUAGUCUAGAUUUACCAACUAAACUCAAACUGAAUCAUAACUAAAUACAUGAACACAUCCAAGGAAACUAAACUAAUACAAAAUGUAGCAUGCUUACUUAAAGCUGAAGGUAAAAAAUAAGACUACUAACACCAUAUCACCUCUACUAAUAACUACAACAUGCUUACUUAAAGAUGAUCUAGACAAGGUGAUCACACUAAAUUAGAAAACAAGUCAGAGAAACAAUAUGGAGUAAUUUCUACGCUUCAAUUCUUCAUUUUCAAUUCAUUCUUCAAGUUUCACUUUACAACCAAAAGAGUUACAGGGUCAUGUACCUGGGAAAUAAGAGGAAACAAGAAGGAAUGAGGUUUUAACAUAUGAAGAAGUAGCAACAGAAAUCAACCAGAUUCAGUAAUUAAAACAAUGAAAUCUGCUCAAAAAUCUGAUGGAACAGUGACUCUUAACAAAGCUUGAACCAACCCUUUUAAAAUCUCAAUUCAAACUAUUUUUUCAACCCCAAAGAGAAUUAAAAGUUUUUUUAGUGGUUCGAAACUUCAAGACCACAGAAAAAGUUUAAUAAAACAGUAAAGUAUCAACCAUUGGUAUUUUCCCUGGAUUUUUCUAUCUCUAAAAAUCUCUAAGAGCUCUAAAAUCUUCUCUGAAGUCUGUCAAAUCUGAUUUGAAAUGCAAGGAAGAGGUGCCUUUAUAGGCAAGGAAGUAGGGUAACAAUUAAGUCGCAGUUUUGAAAUUACGCCCUUUUCAAAUUUUUGUUUUUUCUUAGAUAUUCCUAUAUUAUCGCCUAUCUUGCCAAACAAGGCUGUUAUUUAUCUUCUAGGAAGCUUCCUAAGGUAGUUGCUCAAAGAUUGUUUACUUAGACUACCCAAAUUAUGCCUGGACUCCUAUUAAUUAACCCGAUAGACCAAAUGGAUAUGGGUUAAGUUGACCCAAGGGUCUAACUAGAUGGAAUGGGCUGCCUUUCUUUGUUGCAAAUGGGUCUAAAACCCAUAGCCCAAACAACUUAAUUCAAAGCCUUCUGUAAGCAACAGAAGAACUCACACAUAUGAUCCAAACGUCUUAAAAAACAUCCAAACUAAGAAGUUGAUUAAUUAAACAAAUAAGCAAGGAAAUUAACUAAAAUAAUAAAUAACAAACUAAGCAAUUCCAUACAAAUAAAUAAAAAGUACUCUGAAGACAAAUAAUUUUCUUUAAAAACACUUCAGAAACUAAACUUAAAACAAAGUUUCAACAAAUUUUAAUAAAACUUAGAGAAACAAAAAAGGACUCGUUCUUUGAAGGAGAUGAUCAAAAGGAAUGAAUAUUUUGACAAGGUUAGGAAACUCCCAAAGCAAAAAAGUGAGAGGACGAAGAAAGAAAAAGAAAAAGGAAGAGAAAAUACCUAAUCAACGACAUGGUUGCUCCGAAUCGGAAAUGACUUCUUCGAUUUAAUCCAAAAAUUGGUGUCAAAUGAUUAUUCCUAACGGGAACAACCAAAAAGUGCCCAUUUCGGUUCAAAUCGUCCAUAACAAGAACAUGCAAUCCAUAGAAUCAAGACGGAGCAAUUUUGGUUUUGGGGGGACCUCAAUCUCUGACCUUUAAUUCAAGAUUCGACGGGAUUUGGGGGGAUUCGAGAGGAUGAUGGAUUUGGGAUGAAGGAGGCCUGGUGGGUCUUUGGUGUUAGUUUGGGAGGGGUUGGAAGUGGCACCACCACAGGGGAAAACAGGGGCGGUGCUAGGGUUUACGCCCCUUAGAUUGGAUAUUCGAGGAGUUACAAAGGGGUUUGAGGAAAGGUGUUUGGAUAUUUGGGACAGGGAGAUUGAGGAGAAAAUUUGGUGUAAAAAUGAGGGCGAUUUGCCAUCAGCCGCCGCCAUGGGAGUUUUCCGGCGGCGGCGGACGGUGGUUUAGGGAGGAGUUUGGUCGGUUGUGUGAAAGAUGAUUUGGGAGUAGGGAGCUAUUCCAACAUAUUUAUAUUAAAGAGUCGAUCGGUUCUCAUCUGUUGGAUGAGAUGGAAUCAAAGACUGGUGAUUAGACUCGAAGAAACGGGGUCGUUUGGUAGGAUGUGGAGACUGAACGGGGUAAGGAGUGUGUUUUCGGCUGGGUAUGGGUAAUUGGUCUAGUAUUUUAAUGGUGGGAUGGGCCAAAAUGGUCUCCUUUUAUUAAAACUCUUCUUUCCUUCUUUUUUUUGUUAUUCAGUUUUAGAUUUUUAUUAAUUAUAAAAUUAAAAUAAAAUCUAGAUUAAUUCUUAAUUAAAUUAUCCUAUCAAUUUUAAAACUCUAGAUAAUAAUUAAUAAACCCAAUUAAACAGCAAAUUGAAAGAAAACUAGCAAAAUUUGAAGCUAAAAUUAAAAUGCAAAAUUAAACUAGUUUUUGUGACUUUU
rnacentral:lncRNA from 1 species